ACCCAACCUACACUACAAUCGGCCCUAGAGCUUUGCAUCAAAAUUGAUGAUAAAAUUUCCCUUUUUCAUCUAUCGAUUCAAAAAUUGAUAGCCAAUGGAGUCUUCUUCUUCUUCUUCUUCUUCAUCUUCAUCUUCAACAUUCUAUGUUUCUCAUUUUGACUAUCUCAUUCUAUUCUUUCUUCGUCCCCUUCUCGCCAUCUCCUUCGUGCUCUCCUUAAUUCUCCUCGGUUGGUUCUUGGCGUGGAAGCUAGUUCUGGUUCAUGUUCCUCUGGUUCAAGAAAUCUUCGGCCUGC